AGACUUGUAAUAGCAGCAUG
rnacentral:miRNA from 1 species